AGCAGCCGCGGUAAUUCCAGCUCCAAUAGCGUAUAUUAAAGUUGCUGCAGUUAAAAAGCUCGUAGUUGAAUUUCGGGACCAUCAUGUCGGUCGUGCCUAGUACGUACUGGCAUUGUUGGUUUCUACCUUCUGACGAACCAUGAUGUCAUUUAUUUGGUGUCGUGGGAAAUCAGGACUGUUACUUUGAAAAAUUAGAGUGUUUAAAGCAGGCUAACGCUUGAAUACAUUAGCAUGGAAUAAUGAAAUAGGACGUUUGAUCCUAUUUUGUUGGUUUCUAGGAUCGACGUAAUGAUUAAUAGGGAUAGUUGGGGGCAUUAGUAUUCAAUUGUCAGAGGUGAAAUUCUUGGAUUUAUUGAAG
rnacentral:rRNA from 1 species